ACGGGAGGCAGCAGUGAGGAAUUUUCCGCAAUGGGCGAAAGCCUGACGGAGCAAUACCGCGUGGAGUAUGACGGCCCGUGGGUUGUAAACUCCUUUUCUUAGAGAAGAACAAAUGACGGUACCUAAGGAAUAAGUACCGGCUAACUCUGUGCCAGCAGCCGCGGUAAGACAGGGGGUGCAAGCGUUAUCCGGAAUGAUUGGGCGUAAAGCGUUUGUAGGUGGUUUCGGAAGUCUAUUGUCAAAUCCCAGGGCUUAACCUUGGACCGGCACUGGAGAACUCCGAGGCUUGAGUAUGGUAGGGGCAGAGGGAAUUCCUUGUGAAGCGGUGAAAUGCAUAGAGAUAAGGAAGAACACCGGUGGCGAAGGCGCUCUGCUGGGCCAAAACUGACACUGAGAAACGAAAGCUAGGGGAGAGAAAAGGAUUAGAUACCCUUGUAUUCCUAGCUGUAAACGAUGGAUACUAGAUGCUGUCAAAAGCGGUGUCGUAGCUAACGCGUUAAGUAUCCCGCCUGGGGAGUAGUACGCAAG
rnacentral:rRNA from 1 species